GACGAACGCUGGCGGCGUGCUUAAAACAUGCAAGUCGAACGGAGUGGCGAACGGGUGAGUAACCCGUGGGUGACCUGCCCUGCACUUCGGGCUAAGCCUGGGAAACUGGGUCUAAUACCGGAUAGUGUGGGAUGGGCCCGGGGCCUAUCAGCUGGUUGGUGGGGUAAUGGCCUACCAAGGCGGCGACGGGGAGCCGGCCUGAGAGGGUUGCCGGCCACAUUGGGCCUGAGUCACGGCCCAGACUCCAACGGGAGGCAGCAGUGGGGAGUAUUGCACAAUGGGCGGAAGCCUGAUGCAGCGACGCCGCGUGGGGGAUGACGGCCUUCGGGUUGUAAACUCCUUUCACCAUCGACGCGGUAGAUGGAGAAGAAGCACCGGCUAACUACGUGCCAGCAGCCGCGGUAAUUC
rnacentral:rRNA from 1 species